UACGAAGGGGCUAGCGUUGCUCGGAAUCACUGGGCGUAAAGCGCACGUAGGCGGCUUUUAAGUCAGGGGUGAAAUCCUGGAGCUCAACUCCAGAACUGCCUUUGAUACUGAGAGCUUGAGUCCGGGAGAGGUGAGUGGAACUGCGAGUGUAGAGGUGAAAUUCGUAGAUAUUCGCAAGAACACCAGUGGCGAAGGCGGCUCACUGGCCCGGUACUGACGCUGAGGUGCGAAAGCGUGGGGAGCAAACAGG
rnacentral:rRNA from 1 species